GAUGAACGCUGGCGGCGUGCUUAACACAUGCAGGUCGAACGAUCAAGCCCAGCUUUCUGGGUUGAUUAGUUGCGAACGGGUGAGUAACACGUGAGUAGCCUGCCCUUCUCUCUGGGUUAAGCCUCUUCAACUGGGUCUAGUACUUGAUAUGACUUCUCAUCGCAUGGUUGGGGGUGUAAAGAUUUAUUGUUUUUGGAUGGACUCGCGGCCUAUCAGCUUGUUGGUGAGUUAUUGGCUCACGAAGGGCACGACGGGUAGCCGGCCUGUGAGCGUGAACGGCGACAAUGGGCCUGAGAGACGCAGCAGAAUCCUACGGUCGGCAGCAGGCGAAAAUAUGGCACAAUGGGCGCAAGCGUGAUGUAAAGGCGUUGCGUGAGGGAUGACGGCUUUCGGGUUGUAAACCUAUGUCAGUAGGGAAGAAGCGAGAGUGACGGUACCUGAAGAAGAAGCGACGGCUAACUACGUG
rnacentral:rRNA from 1 species